rnacentral:rRNA from 1 species
CCUACGGGCGGCAGCAGUGAGGAAUAUUGGUCAAUGGACGAGAGUCUGAACCAGCCAAGUAGCGUGAAGGAUGACUGCCCUAUGGGUUGUAAACUUCUUUUAUAUGGGACUAAAAUGUUCCACGUUUGGGAUUUUGUAUGUCCCAUAUGAAUAAGGAUCGGCUAACUCCGUGCCAGCAGCCGCGGUAUUCCGGAGGAUCCGAGCGUUAUCCGGAUUUAUUGGGUUUAAAGGGAGCGUAGGUGGAUUGUUAAGUCAGUUGUGAAAGUUUGCGGCUCAACCGUAAAAUUGCAGUUGAAACUGGCAGUCUUGAGUACAGUAGAGGUGGGCGGAAUUCGUGGUGUAGCGGUGAAAUGCUUAGAUAUCACGAAGAACUCCGAUUGCGAAGGCAGUUCACUGGACUGCAACUGACACUGAGGCUCGAAAGUGUGGGUAUCAAACAGGAUUAGAUACCCCUGUAGUC